rnacentral:rRNA from 1 species
GACGAACGCUGGCGGCGUGCUUAACACAUGCAAGUCGAACGGAAAGGCCCUGCUUUUGUGGGGUGCUCGAGUGGCGAACGGGUGAGUAACACGUGAGUAACCUGCCCUUGACUUUGGGAUAACUUCAGGAAACUGGGGCUAAUACCGGAUAGGAGCUCCUGCUGCAUGGUGGGGGUUGGAAGGUUUCGGCGGUUGGGGAUGGACUCGCGGCUUAUCAGCUUGUUGGUGGGGUAGUGGCUUACCAAGGCUUUGACGGGUAGCCGGCCUGAGAGGGUGACCGGCCACAUUGGGACUGAGGUACGGCCCAGACUCCUACGGGAGGCAGCAGUGGGGAAUAUUGCACAAUGGGCGGAAGCCUGAUGCAGCAACGCCGCGUGCGGGAUGACGGCCUUCGGGUUGUAAACCGCUUUCGCCUGUGACGAAGCGUGAGUGACGGUAAUGGGUAAAGAAGCACCGGCUAACUACGUG